rnacentral:ncRNA from 1 species
UUAAACGUAAUGAUGGAGAAAGUAAGCUUGUGAAAUCUUUCAGAGAGCCUUGAAAUAUGGUGGGAAAAGGCAGAAGAAACAGUGCUGAAAAUGGCUCUUGAAUGGUGUACCGAAACCUUUUAGGUCUAGGCUACAACAGGUUCGCCUGUUACAGCGAAACGGUAUUAUCCUUUAUAAAAAGGACGUACUGAAAUGAGGUUUUCUGUUUUUUUCAGAAAAUGAAGUGAAGUGGUACAGCGUUAAUACGCCUUCAUA